ACUUUGUUCGAUUGAAUGAGAAAAAGUACUAGUUGCAAAGUUAUACUGUUGGGGCGCAACAGAGUAGUCUACUGUUGUUCCGGUUUUGGUUCUUGUUAAGGUUGACAUCGAUUCAUUCCAAAUUUACACUCUCGGGGCAUAAUAGGACAAUAUAAUUAGGUUUUACUCUUUGUUCGAUAGAAUGAGAAAAAGUACUCAUUGCAAAGUUCUACUGUUAGGGCGCAACUGAAUAGCGUUAUGUUGUUACGGUUUUGGUUCUUGUGAACGUUGACAUCGAUUCGUUCGAAAUUACAACUCUCGCGGCAUAAUUGAACAAUAUAAUUAGGUUUUACACUUUGUUCAAUAGAAUGAGAAAAAGUACUCGUCGCAAAGUUAUACUGUUGGGGCGCAACUAAGUAGUCUAAUGUUGUUCCGGUUUUGGUUCUUGUGAACGUUGACAUCGAUUCGUUCCAAAUUUACACUCUCGGGGCAAAAUAGGACAAUAUAAUUAAGUUUUACGCUUUGUUCGAUCGAAUGAGAAAAUGUACGCGUUGCAAAUUUAUACUGUUAGGGCGCAGCUGGGUAGUCUAAUGUUGUUCCGGUUUCGGUUCAUGUGAAGGUUGACAUCGAUUCGUUCCAAAUGUACACUCUUGGGGCAUAAUAGAACAAUAUAAUUAGCUUUUACACUUUGUUCAAUCGAAUGGAAAAAAAUACUCGUUGCAAAGUUAUACUGUUAGGGCGCAGCUUAGUAGUCUAAUGUUGUUCCGGUUUUGGUUCUUGUGAAGGUUGACAUCGAUUCGUUCUAAAUUUACACUCGCGGGGCAUAAUAGAACAAUAUAAUUAGCUUUUACACUUUGUUCGGUCGAAUGGGAAAAAGUACUCGUUGCAAAGUUAUACUGUUAGGGCGGAACUGAGUAGACUAUUGUUGUUCCGGUUUUGGUUCUUGUGAAGGUUGACAUCGAUUCGUUCCAAAUUUACACUCUUGGGGCAUAAUAGAACAAUAUAAUUAGUUUUUACACUUUGUUCGAUUGAUUAAGAAAAAGUACUAGUUGCAAAGUUAUACUGUUGGGGCGCAACAGAGUAGUCUAUUGUUGUUCCGGUUUUGAUUCUUGCUAAGGUUGACAUCGAUUCGUUCCAAAUUUACACUCUCGGGGCAUAAUAGAACAAUAUAAUUUGGUUUUACUCUUUGUUCGAUAGAAUAAGAAAAAGUAGUCAUUGCAAUGUUAUACUGUUAGGGCGCCACUGAAUAGUCUAAUAUUGUUCCGGUUUUGGUUCUUGUGAACGUUGACAUCGAUUCGUUCGAAAUUACAACUCUCGGGGCAUAAUUGAACAAUAUAAUUAGGUUUUACUCUUUGUUCGAUAGAAUGAGAAAAAGUACUCGUCGCAAAGUUAUACUGCUAGGGCGCAACUGAGUAGUCUAAUGUUGUUCCGAUUUUGGUUCUUGUGAACGUUGACAUCGAUUCGUUCCAAAUUUACACUCUCGGGGCACAAUUGAACAAUAUAAUUAGGUUUUACUCUUUGUUCGAUAAAAAGAGAAAAAGUACUCGUUGCAAAGUUAUACUGUUAGGGCGCAACAGAGUAGUCUAAUGUUGUUCCGGUUUUCGUUCUUGUGAACGGUGACAUCGAUUCGUUCCAAAUUUACACUCUCGGGNCUGGGAACUUGUUGUACACAAUCUCGUCGUUGUGCCUUGGGCGGACAGGGGAGGUACUGUCCGUACGGCGGUCCGCCGCCGUGCCCGAACCGAACCAAAUUGGUAUCGGCCUCGGGGCGGGGGCGUGACAGAAAAAUUACUAGUUGCAAAGUUAUACUGUUGGGGCGCAACAGAGUAGUCUAUUGUUGUUCCGGUUUUGGUUAUUGUUAAGGUUGACAUCGAUUCGUUUCAAAUUUACACUCUCGAGGCAUAAUAGAACAAUAUAAUUAGGUUUUACUCUUUGUUCGAUAGAAUGAGAAAAAGUACUCAUUGCAAAGUUAUACUGUUAGGGCGCAACCGAAUAGUCUAAUGUUGUUCCGGUUUUGGUUCUUGUGAACGCUGACAUCAAUUGGUUCGAAAUUACAACUCUCGGGGCAUAAUUGAACAAUAUAAAUUAGGUUUUACUCUUUGUUCGAUAGAAUGAGAAAAAGAACUCGUCGCAAAGUUAUACUGCUAGGGGGCAACUGAGUAGUCUAAUAUUGUUCCGGUUUUGGUUCUUGUGAACGUUGACAUCGAUUCGUUCCAAAUUUACACUCUCGGGGCAUAAUAGAACAAUACAAUUAAGUUUUACUCUUUGUUCGAUCGAAUGAGAAAAAGUACUCGUUGCAAAUUUAUAAUAUUAGGGCGCAGCUGAGUAGUCUAAUGUUGUUCCGGUUUUGGUUCUUGUGAAGGUUGACAUCGAUUCGUUCCAAAUUUACACUCUUGGGGCAUAAUAGAACAAUAUAAUUAGCUUUUACACUUUGUUCGAUCGAAUGGGAAAAAAGUACUCGUUACAAAGUUAUACUGUUAGGGCGCAACUGAGUAGUCUAUUGUUAUUCCAGUUUUGGUUCUUGUGAAGGUUGACAUCGAUUCGUUCCAAAUUUACACUCUCGGGGCAUAAUAGAACAAUAAAAUUAGCUUUUACACUUUGUUCGAUUGAAUAAGAAAAAGUACUAGUUGCAAAGUUAUAUUGUUGGGGUGCAACAGAGUAGUCUAUUGUUUUUCCGAUUUUGGUUCUGGUGAAGGUUGAUAUCGAUUCGUUCCAAAUUUACACUCUCGGGGCAUAAUGAAUAAAAUAAAUAGCUUUUACACUUUGUUCGAUUGAAUGAGAAAAAGUACUAGUUGCAAAGUUAUACUGUUGGGGCGCAACAGAGUAGUUUACUGUUGUUCCGAUUUUGGUUCUUGUUAAGGUUGACAUCGAUUCAUUCCAAAUUUACACUCUCGGGGCAUAAUAGAACAAUACAAUUAAGUUUUACUCUUUGUUCGAUCGAAUGAGAAAAAGUACUCGUUGCAAAAUUAUGCUGUUAGGGCGCAACUGAGUAGUCUAGUGUUGUUCCGAUUUUGGUUCUUGUGAAGAUUGACAUCGAUUCGUUCCAAAUUUACACUCUCGGGGCAUAAUAGAACAAUAUAAUUAGCUUUUACACUUUGUUCGAUUGAAUGAGAAAAAGUACUAGUUGCAAAGUUAUACUGUUGGGGCGCAACAGAGUAGUCUAUUGUUGUUCCGGUUUUGGUUCUUGUUAAGGUUGACAUCGAUUCGUUCCAAAUUUACACUCUCGGGGCAUAAUAGAACAAUAUAAUUAGGUUUUACUCUUUGUUCGAUCGAAUGAGAAAAAGUACUCGUUGCAAAGUUAUACUGUUAGGGCGCAACUGAGUAGUCUAAUGUUGUUCCGGUUUUGGUUCUUGUGAACGUUGACAUCGAUUCGUUCGAAUUUACACUCUCGCGGCAUAAUAGAACAAUAUAAUUAGGUUUUACACUUUGUUCGAUAGAAUGAGAAAAAGUACUCGUUGCAAAGUUAUACUGUUAGGGCGCAACUGAGUAGUCUAAUGUUGUUCCGGUUUUGGUUCUUGUGAACGUUGACAUCGAUUCGUUCCAAAUUUACACUCUCGGGGCAUAAUAGAACAAUAUAAUUAGGUUUUACGCUUUGUUCGAUUGAAUGAGAAAAAGUACUCGUUGCAAAGUUAUACUGUUAGGGCGCAACUGAGUAGUCUAAUGUUGUUCCGGUUUUGGUUCUUGUGAACGUUGACAUCGAUUCGUUCCAAAUUUACACUCUCGGGGCAUAAUAGAACAAUAUAAUUAGNNN
rnacentral:lncRNA from 1 species